CGACUUCGGAUUGAAUAGACGUAGACGUAAACUCUCCUUGCGAUAAUUUCAUUGGAAUUUUAUAAUCACCUCAUUCUGAAUAUAAAUAUCUUCUUCACGGUUAAAUAAUAUCCCAAUUCGGGUCAAAAGUACAAACACAAAUAUCGACUUCCUUCCAAUGCUAACUUUCAAACACUCGUACUUGAAGUGACAUGCAUAUGCAUAUACCUAAAUAUAGCUUGCGCAUUUUUGUCAACUUAAAAAAUUCCUGUAUAGGGAAAUCACGAAGCGAUAAAUGAAAACGGGAAUUCUAGUCCAGAGGAGUGCCCAGAAAUUGCGAAAAAUUUAGGGAACAGCUACAAGAGGGGAAGAAGGAUGAAUCGUCAGCAUCUUCUUCGGAAGAAGAGUUUCAAAUUGGAUAAAUCGAAAAAUAGUUGAGCAUUUAUGUAGAAAUAAUGUCCAUGAAUUAUAUUAAAAAAUAAACAGUA